GGAGGGGGCGAGCGUUAUUCGGAAUUAUUGGGCGUAAAGGGCGCGUAGGCGGCCGGAUAAGUCAAAGGUGAAAUCCCUCGGCUCAACUGAGGCACUGCCUUUGAAACUGUUUGGCUCGAGUCCGGGAGGGGGUAGCGGAAUUCCCAGUGUAGCGGUGAAAUGCGUAGAUAUUGGGAGGAACACCAGUGGCGAAGGCGGCUACCUGGACCGGUACUGACGCUGAUGCGCGAAAGCGUGGGGAGCAAAAGGGAUUAGAUACCCCUGUAGUCCACGCCCUAAACGGUGCACACUAGGUCUUGGCGGAUUCGACCCCCCCAGGGCCCAAGCUAAUGCGUUAAGUGUGCCGCCUGAGGACUACGGCCACAAGGCUA
rnacentral:rRNA from 1 species